rnacentral:rRNA from 1 species
UACGAAGGGGGGCUAGCGUUGUUCGGAAUCACUGGGCGUAAAGGGCGCGUAGGCGGCUUGAUCAGUCGGGGGUGAAAGCCUGUGGCUCAACCACAGAAUUGCCUUCGAUACUGUCUGGCUUGAGACCGGAAGAGGUAAGUGGAACUGCGAGUGUAGAGGUGAAAUUCGUAGAUAUUCGCAAGAACACCAGUGGCGAAGGCGGCUUACUGGUCCGGUUUCUGGAACGCUGAGGCGCGAAAGCGUGGGGAGCAAACAGG